rnacentral:lncRNA from 1 species
GCGGUAAGCCGCCGCUACCGCCGCCCACAGUGGCGGCGCCGCCGCCACCGCCACCAUCUCCGAUGGCCACCAAAAUUUGGCAGUAGCACCUUCUCAACACACCCAUUAAUUCUUUCAACUGUGACCAAGUUAGAAAAUCAGCGGAAGUACCUCAACAAUUAAAGAGAAGUUUGGACCCGAAUCGUGAAUAGUAACUCAGAAUUUCAAACCUUCGAUUCGACCUCCACACUGCAAAUCGUGGCUCAAGGCUAGGGGCAACAUGAUCCUUGGGAAAAACCGCUCCUUCGACGCCGGUUUGGUGGCCGGAGAUGGCCGGAAUCGCCGGAAAUCGACG